AGAAGAAAAUCAUAUUUCUGGGUACCAGGCCAAUAGAAACGAAAGAGGAAAUCAGAGAUGGAUGCUUCUGAUAGGACUCUGAGUUACUUCCUGCAGCUCCCUUUUCUCCUUGAGAUAAAAAAAGAAGCCAGACCUCUCACCUUGCAAAAGCUUCGAUGUACUUGAAACAACCAUUUUGAAUACGGAAAGGGGCCGCAGCCUCGUUCCAGCA
rnacentral:lncRNA from 1 species